GAGUUUGAUCGUGGCUCAGGAUGAACGCUGGCGGCGUGCCUAAUACAUGCAAGUCGAGCGAACGGACGAGAAGCUUGCUUCUCUGAUGUUAGCGGCGGACGGGUGAGUAACACGUGGAUAACCUACCUAUAAGACUGGGAUAACUUCGGGAAACCGGAGCUAAUACCGGAUAAUAUUUUGAACCGCAUGGUUCAAAAGUAAAAGACGGUCUUGCUGUCACUUAUAGAUGGAUCCGCGCUGCAUUAGCUAGUUGGUAAGGUAACGGCUUACCAAGGCAACGAUGCAUAGCCGACCUGAGAGGGUGAUCGGCCACACUGGAACUGAGACACGGUCCAGACUCCUACGGGAGGCGGCAGUAGGGAAUCUUCCGCAAUGGGCGAAAGCCUGACGGAGCAACGCCGCGUGAGUGAUGAAGGUCUUCGGAUCGUAAAACUCUGUUAUUAGGGAGAACAUAUGUGUAAGUAACUGUGCACAUCUUGACGGUACCUAAUCAGAAAGCCACGGCUAACUACGUGCCAC
rnacentral:rRNA from 1 species